AUAAAACCAUCGGGUCCGCCCGUUUUUUGUGUGAAUCUGAAUAACUAUCGCUGAUCGCACAGUCCUCGUACUGGCGAUGUAUCUUACGAAUGUCUGCCUUAUCAACUUACGAUGGUAGUAUACACGGCUACCAUGGUUGUGACGGGUAACGGAGAAUUAGGGUUCGACUCCGGAGAGGGAGCCUGAGAAACGGCUACCACAUCCAAGGAAGGCAGCAGGCA
rnacentral:rRNA from 1 species